rnacentral:rRNA from 1 species
UGCAGUCGAACGGUAACAUUUCUAGCUUGCUAGAAGAUGACGAGUGGCGGACGGGUGAGUAAUGCUUGGGAACUUGCCUUUGCGAGGGGGAUAACAGUUGGAAACGACUGCUAAUACCGCAUAAUGUCUACGGACCAAACGGGGCUUAGGCUCCGGCGCAAAGAGAGGCCCAAGUGAGAUUAGCUAGUUGGUGAGGUAAAGGCUCACCAAGGCGACGAUCUCUAGCUGUUCUGAGAGGAAGAUCAGCCACACUGGGACUGAGACACGGCCCAGACUCCUACGGGAGGCAGCAGUGGGGAAUAUUGCACAAUGGGGGAAACCCUGAUGCAGCCAUGCCGCGUGUGUGAAGAAGGCCUUCGGGUUGUAAAGCACUUUCAGUUGUGAGGAAAAGUUAGUAGUUAAUACCUGCUAGCCGUGACGUUAACAACAGAAGAAGCACCGGCUAACUCCGUGCCAGCAGCCGCGGUAAUACGGAGGGUGCGAGCGUUAAUCGGAAUUACUGGGCGUAAAGCGCACGCAGGCGGUUUGUUAAGCUAGAUGUGAAAGCCCCGGGCUCAACCUGGGAUGGUCAUUUAGAACUGGCAGACUAGAGUCUUGGAGAGGGGAGUGGAAUUCCAGGUGUAGCGGUGAAAUGCGUAGAUAUCUGGAGGAACAUCAGUGGCGAAGGCGACUCCCUGGCCAAAGACUGACGCUCAUGUGCGAAAGUGUGGGUAGCGAACAGGAUUAGAUACCCUGGUAGUCCACACCGUAAACGCUGUCUACUAGCUGUUUGUGGCUUUAAGUCGUGAGUA